AGUGAGAAAUUGCAUACUCCUUGUCAAUUUGGGGAAAAUACUUGUAAGCCGUGAGAAAAGUCAUUGUAGUUGUUGAAGGGAAACUAUCACAAUUCAUGAGUACAGGAGUAGAGGUUGUUCUGAGAGUGG